rnacentral:rRNA from 1 species
GAGAGACCUUCGGGUCUCUAGUGGCGAACGGGUGAGUAACACGUAGGGAACCUGCCCGCGCACCGGGAAUACGCUCUGGAAACGGAGAACAAAUCCCGAUGUACAGGAAGGAGGCAUCUUCUUUCUGUGAAACAUCCUUUAGGGGAUGGGGCGCGGAUGGACCUGCGGUGCAUUAGUUGGUUGGCGGGGUAAAGGCCCACCAAGACGAUGAUGCAUAGCCGGCCUGAGAGGGCGGACGGCCACAUUGGGACUGAGACACGGCCCAGACUCCUGCGGGAGGCAGCAGUAGGGAAUUUUCGUCAAUGGGCGCAAGCCUGAACGAGCGAUGCCGCGUGAGUGAAGAAGGCCUUCGGGUCGUAAAGCUCUGUUGCGGGGGAAAAAAGGCAGCAUCAGGAAAUGGGUGCUGACUGAUGGUGCCCCGCCAGAAAGUCACGGCUAACUACGUGCCAGCAGCCGCGGUAAUACGUAGGUGGCGAGCGUUAUCCGGAAUGAUUGGGCGUAAAGGGUGCGCAGGCGGUCCUGCAAGUCUGGAGUGAAACGCAUGAGCUCAACUCAUGCAUGGCUUUGGAAACUGGAGGACUGGAGAGCAGGAGAGGGCGGUGGAACUCCAUGUGUAGCGGUAAAAUGCGUAGAUAUAUGGAAGAACACCAGUGGCGAAGGCGGCCGCCUGGCCUGUUGCUGACGCUGAGGCACGAAAGCGUGGGGAGCAA